rnacentral:rRNA from 1 species
GACGAACGCUGGCGGCGUGCUUAACACAUGCAAGUCGAACGGGCCUUGUCCCCUUUUUUUUGGGGGUGGGGUUAGUGGCGAACGGGUGAGUAACACGUGAGUAACCUGCCCCUCACUUCUGGAUAACCGCUUGAAAGGGUGGCUAAUACGGGGUGUUCUGGCCUGCUCGCAUGGGUGGGUUUGGAAAGAUUCGACCGGUUUUGGUUGUUUUGGUGGGGGAUGGGCUCGCGGCCUAUCAGCUUGUUGGUGGGGUGAUGGCCUGCCAAGGCUUUGACGGGUAGCCGGCCUGAGAGGGUGGGCGGUCACACUGGGACUGAGACACGGCCCAGACUCCUACGGGAGGCAGCAGUGGGGAAUAUUGCACAAUGGACGCAAGCCGGAUGCAGCGACGCCGCGUGAGGGAUGGAGGCCUUCGGGUUGUGAACCUCUUUCGCCAGUGAAGAAGGUCCUGCUCUUUGUGGUGGGGUUGACGGUAGCUGGGUUAAUGAAGCGCCGGCUAACUACGUG